rnacentral:rRNA from 1 species
CCCUUAGAUGUCCUGGGCCGCACGCGCGCUACACUGAUGCAAUCAACAAGCACCCAACCUUGGUCGAGAGGCCUGGGUAAUCUUGUGAAACUGCAUCGUGAUGGGGAUAGAUGCUUGUAAUUUUUCAUCUUCAACGAGGAAUUCCUAGUAAACGCGAGUCAUCAGCUCGCAUUGAUUACGUCCCUGCCCUUUGUACACACCGCCCGUCGCACCUACCGAUUGGAUGGUCCGAUGAAAUCUCCGGACUGCGCGAUGCUGCCUUCACGGGCGGCUCGCGCGGGAAGCUGAUUAAAUCUUACGAUCUAGAGGAAGGUAAAGUCGUAACA